rnacentral:rRNA from 1 species
CCUACGGGUGGCAGCAGUGAGGAAUAUUGGUCAAUGGCCGGAAGGCUGAACCAGCCAUGCCGCGUGAAGGUCAGUGCCCUAUGGGCGUUAAACUUCUUUUGUGCGGGAGCAAUAAUGGUCACGUGUGGCCAGACGAGAGUACCGUACGAAUAAGCAUCGGCUAACUCCGUGCCAGCAGCCGCGGUAAUAUGGGGGAUGCAAGCGUUAUCCGGAUUUAUUGGGUUUAAAGGGUGCGUAGGCUGGGAGGUAAGUCAGCGGUGAAAUGCCCCCGCUCAACGGGGUGAAGUGCCAUUGAUACUGCCUUGCGGGAAUGCGGAUGCCGUGGGAGGAAUGUGUGGUGUAGCGGGGAAAUGCAUAGAUAUCACACAGAACACCGAUUGCGAAGGCAUCUCACGAAUCCGCGAUUGACGCUGAUGCACGAAAGCGUGGGUAUCAAACAGGAUUAGAUACCCCAGUAGUC